CCCUUAGAUGUCCGGGGCUGCACGCGCGCUACACUGAAGGAAUCAGCGUGCUAAAACCAUUGUCGAAAGGCAUUGGUAAACCCAUUAAAAUCCUACGUGAUUGGGAUCGGGAAUUGCAACUAUUUCCCUUGAACGAGGAAUUCCCAGUAAGUGUGGGUCAUAAGCUCGCGUUGAUUACGUCCCUGCCCUUUGUACACACCGCCCGUCGCUGCCCGGGACUGAGCCGUUUCGAGAAAAGCGGGGACUGCUGCUGUCGGGGCUUUCGGGCCUUGGCUUCGGUGGAAACCGCUUUAAUCGCAGUGGCUUGAACCGGGCAAAAGUCGUAACA
rnacentral:rRNA from 1 species